CAAUCUAAUUUCAAAUCAUAAUUUUAUAUCGCUAUAGCAUGUCAAAGGAAUAAGUACUUCAUAUCAUUUUUUGCUAGAAAAAAAAAUCUAAAGCUAUAUGCAGAACAUUUCAUGAAGAACUUCUACACAAACAGUUACUAGAAGACACGAGCUUUGACUCUCACCAAACUAGAUGGUAGAAUGCUCAAAGCAAACAGACCUUGUAGGCAUGUUAGUUACCUCUAAUUAGGGGUCGCGGGAUCCCAAUCAUCUCACCAUACCCCUCGAUGGUAACGUAUAGAUAAUCCACUCACACCAUAGUGCGUAAGACAAGAAAUGAACAGCUCCAUCGAGCAAUUACUUCCGCAGAGAGUAAAUACAUCAUUGCAUAUCACUGUUUCCUAGCAAGUGAAUCUAAUACUAUAUGCAGAACAUUUCACUAACUUGUACACAGAUAGCUACUACAAGAUGCAAGCUUUAUCCCUCACCAACCUAGAUGGUGGAAGGCUCAAGCCAAACAGACAUAAUCGGCAUGUUAGUUGCCUCCUGGAUUCCGAUUCCACGACAAGUAAGUUGGAUCUCCAAGUUACCUUGGCUUAAACUAGAUACACAAUCAUGAAAACCAUUGCCAGAAAGAAACACAAUCCACCAGCAGUAAGAUAAGACCAAUCCAACUAGUUGUAGAAAGCACAAGCUUCUUCUUGCCAUCAAAACUAUAAGGUCAGGUUUAUAAUCUACUUGCACCACAGUACGUAAGACGAGAAUGACGACACUUAUCAAAGGAUAAGUACUUCAUUACAUAUCAUUAUUUCCUAGCAAAUGAGUCUAAAGUUAUAUGCAGAACAUUUCAUAAAGAACUUGUACACAAACAGUUACUAGAAGACACAAGACUCGUGUCUCACCAAACUAGAUGGUAGAAUGCUCAAGCAAACAGACUUCAUGGGCAUGCUUGUUACAACCUGUUUCCGGUUCCACGACAAAUAAGUUGGCUUAACUAGAUACACAAUUAUGAAAGCCAUAGCAAGAAAGAAACACAAUUACCAACUUUUAGAUAAGCAAUACCAAAGAAAAUCGUUCUUUCCACCAAUCCAGCUAGUUGUAGAAAGCACAAGGUUCUUCUUUCCAUCGAAACUAUACAUAUCAUAAAUGCUUUGCAAUAUCACAUUUAUAAUCUACUGGCAUCAUUCAAGUCUUUUAAGCAAUUACUUCGAUUGUACAUACAUAAUUUUGAAUAAACACUUAUCAAAGGGAAAAUACUUCAUUACAUAUCAUUGUUUCCUAGCAAAUGAGUUUAAAAGUAUAUGCAGAACAUUUCAAAAAAAAGAACCUGUAGACAGAUAGCUGCUACAAGACACAAGCUUUGUCAACAUCAACCUUAGAUGGUAAAACGCUCGAGCCAACAGACUUCACGUGCAUGCUAGUUACCUCCUGGGUUCCGGUUCCAUGACAAAUAUGUUGGAUCUCCAAGCUGCCUUGGCUUAACUAGAUAUACGACAGUGAAAGCCAUAGCCAAAAAGAAACACAAUCCACCUACAGUAAGAUAAGCAAUACCAAGAAAAUCAUUCUUUCCACCAAUCCAGCUAGUUGUAGAAAGCACAAGGUUCUUCUUUCCAUCGAAACUAUACAUAUCAUAAAUGCUUUGCAAUAUCACAUUUAUAAUCUACUGGCAUCAUUCAAGUCUUUUAAGCAAUUACUUCGAUUGUACAUACAUAAUUUUGAAUAAACACUUAUCAAAGGGAAAAUACUUCAUUACAUAUCAUUGUUUCCUAGCAAAUGAGUUUAAAAGUAUAUGCAGAACAUUUCAAAAAAAAGAACCUGUAGACAGAUAGCUGCUACAAGACACAAGCUUUGUCAACAUCAACCUUAGAUGGUAAAACGCUCGAGCCAACAGACUUCACGUGCAUGCUAGUUACCUCCUGGGUUCCGGUUCCAUGACAAAUAUGUUGGAUCUCCAAGCUGCCUUGGCUUAACUAGAUAUACGACAGUGAAAGCCAUAGCCAAAAAGAAACACAAUCCACCUACAGUAAGAUAAGCAAUACCAAGAAAAUCAUUCUUUCCACCAAUCCAGCUAGUUGUAGAAAGCACAAGCUUCUUCUUUCCAUCGAAACUAUAAGUAUUGUAAUUGUUCAGUAACGUCACGUUUAUUGUAUCACCCGCCUCCAGAUCCACCUCUAUCUUCCCAUACAACUUCCUAAACGUCGGAAGUGCAGCAGUUCUCAUCCAAACAAUUAGAUCUUCUUGCUUGUCCAACGAUUCAUUCUUAAGCUGCCCACCCCCAAU
rnacentral:lncRNA from 1 species